GACGAACGCUGGCGGCGUGCUUAACACAUGCAAGUCGAACGGAAAGGCCCCUUUGGGGGUACUCGAGUGGCGAACGGGUGCGUAACACGUGAGUAACCUGCCCUUGACUUCGGGAUAACUUCAGGAAACUGGGGCUAAUACCGGAUAGGAAUCCUUGCUGCAUGGGGGGGGUUGGAAAGCUUCGGCGGUUUUGGAUGGACUCGCGGCUUAUCAGCUUGUUGGUGGGGUAGUGGCUUACCAAGGCUUUGACGGGUAGCCGGCCUGAGAGGGUGACCGGCCACAUUGGGACUGAGAUACGGCCCAGACUCCUACGGGAGGCAGCAGUGGGGAAUAUUGCACCAUGGGCGGAAGCCGGAUGCAGAAACGCCGCGGGCGGGAUGACGGCCUUCGGGUUGUAAACCGCUUUCAGCAGGGGCGAAGCUUGUGGUGACGGUACCUGCAGAAGAAGCACCGGCUAACUACGUG
rnacentral:rRNA from 1 species